rnacentral:rRNA from 1 species
AUUGAACGCUGGCGGCAUGCCUUACACAUGCAAGUCGAACGGUAACAGGUCUUCGGAUGCUGACGAGUGGCGAACGGGUGAGUAAUACAUCGGAACGUGCCCGAUCGUGGGGGAUAACGAGGCGAAAGCUUUGCUAAUACCGCAUACGAUCUACGGAUGAAAGCGGGGGAUCUUCGGACCUCGCGCGGACGGAGCGGCCGAUGGCAGAUUAGGUAGUUGGUGGGAUAAAAGCUUACCAAGCCGACGAUCUGUAGCUGGUCUGAGAGGAUGAUCAGCCACACUGGGACUGAGACACGGCCCAGGCUCCUACGGGAGGCAGCAGUGGGGAAUUUUGGACAAUGGGCGAAAGCCUGAUCCAGCCAUGCCGCGUGCAGGAUGAAGGCCUUCGGGUUGUAAAAUGCUUUUGUACGGAACGAAAAGCCUCUUUCUAAUAAAGAGGGGUCAUGACGGUACCGUAAGAAUAAGCACCGGCUAACUACGUG